rnacentral:rRNA from 1 species
AGCGUAGGCGGAUUUUUAAGUGAGAUGUGAAAUACUCGGGCUUAACCUGAGUGCUGCAUUUCAAACUGGAAGUCUAGAGUGCAGGAGAGGAGAAGGGAAUUCCUAGUGUAGCGGUGAAAUGCGUAGAGAUUAGGAAGAACACCAGUGGCGAAGGCGCUUCUCUGGACUGUAACUGACGCUGAGGCUGAAAGCGUGGGGGAGCGAACA